rnacentral:rRNA from 1 species
UACGUAGGGCGCAAGCGUUGUCCGGAAUUAUUGGGCGUAAAGAGCUCGUAGGCGGCUUGUCACGUCGGUUGUGAAAGCCCGGGGCUUAACCCCGGGUCUGCAGUCGAUACGGGCAGGCUAGAGUUCGGUAGGGGAGAUCGGAAUUCCUGGUGUAGCGGUGAAAUGCGCAGAUAUCAGGAGGAACACCGGUGGCGAAGGCAGAUCUCUGGGCCGAUACUGACGCUGAGGAGCGAAAGCGUGGGGAGCGAACAGG